rnacentral:rRNA from 1 species
AUUGAACGCUGGCGGCAUGCCUUACACAUGCAAGUCGAACGGCAGCAUGAUCUCGCUUGCUAGAUUGAUGGCGAGUGGCGAACGGGUGAGUAAUACAUCGGAACGUGCCCUGUAGUGGGGGAUAACUAGUCGAAAGAUUAGCUAAUACCGCAUACUACCUGAGGGUGAAAGUGGGGGACCGCAAGGCCUCAUGCUAUAGGAGCGGCCGAUGUCUGAUUAGCUAGUUGGUGAGGUAAAGGCUCACCAAGGCGACGAUCAGUAGCUGGUCUGAGAGGACGAUCAGCCACACUGGCACUGAGACACGGCCCAGACUCCUACGGGAGGCAGCAGUGGGGAAUUUUGGACAAUGGGCGAAAGCCUGAUCCAGCAAUGCCGCGUGUGUGAAGAAGGCCUUCGGGUUGUAAAGCACUUUUGUCCGGAAAGAAAUGGCUCUGGUUAAUACCUGGGGUCGAUGACGGUACCGGAAGAAUAAGGACCGGCUAACUACGUG